rnacentral:misc_RNA from 1 species
GCCUACUGUUUAAUUUUGAGGGUUCGUUUUUACGAAUACUCAAAAUUAGCACUUUUAGCAACGGGAUUUAUCCGUUGGCGCUGUGCGUUAGCACUUUAAGCAACAGAAUAAACUAAACGCAUGUGAAGUUUGUUUGUUAGCGCUGUGUGUUAGCACUUUAAGCAACGGAAUUUAUUCGUUGGCGCUGUGCUUUAGCACUUUGAAAACUGCAUAUAUAUAUAUUUAGUGAUAUGACAUCUAAUUUGUAAUAUAUAAAGCUGAUAACUUUUUAAAAUUAUCGAAGUUGAUAGCUUCUAAUCUAUCAAACCUUUUUAACUGGUCAA